UACGUAGGGGGCAAGCGUUGUCCGGAAUCAUUGGGCGUAAAGCGCGCGUAGGCGGCCCGGUAAGUCCGCUGUAAAAGUCCAGGGCUCAACCCUGGAAAGCCGGUGGAUACUGUCGGGCUAGAGUCCGGAAGAGGCGAGUGGAAUUCCACGUGUAGCAGUGAAAUGCGUAGAGAUGUGGAGGAACACCGAUGGCGAAGGCAGCCCCCUGGGUCAACACUGACGCUCAUGCACGAAAGCGUGGGGAGCAAACAGG
rnacentral:rRNA from 1 species